GUGACAUCCAGCCUGAAUAUCAUGGAGGUCUUAGAGAAAAAGAACAGUGUGACACAUCAACUGUAUGCUCAAGAUUUAGUCAUCACUGCAGUUAUCUGCUUUAUCGGUGGCAUUGGCUUUACCCUACUGAUAGGUCUGAUCUACUAUAAAGUAUCUCUGAGGAAGAACCUGACAGAAGGUACAAUGGAGAAGGCUGGAGAAGAAAACAGCACAAUGGCAAAUCUGCCAGAUAUAAGUGAAUGGAGGAACCACACCCACAUGGACAACAGCCUGGUCUUUGACCAGGAGGUCAUGACAUUGGAUCCCAGGACAUAUGACCCUGUUUAUCAGCUUGAUUCAAGUGAUAAAAAUAAUCAGUUCUGGUACUCGAACUGUUGCAGUAAAGACCACAGAGGGAUCAGACAGAAUCUUAUGAGGUGGGACAAUAGGACAAUUACACAAUUAAAGACAGAUGAGGAAACACAGAGGAGGAGGGUGAGGGUGAUAACAGAGCAUGAUUUAAGGAUGCUUGCAACUCAACAGGGGAUUCUAGAAUUUACAAACAAACUUUCUCAUGGCAGAACCUCUUCUCAUCCAAGAAAAGAAGCUGUUGGUAGAAGAGUUGAGGUUUUGGUUAAUAGUCAAGAGGAGGGACAUUGUUACAAGGCUGAAGGAGGAGAGUGCAGCAAAAUAAACAAGUCUUUGUACUCUAACAGCUGUCACAGGCUAUACAGACCAUCAGAGCCAAACUUGAGGAAAGGAAGGGUCGAUGCCAAAAUAGAAAACUCUGGUCUUUUUAGUGAUUUUCCUUGUCAGCACAGAGAGAUUGACAUAGAUUUAAAUAUUGGCGACAAAUCUGACACGAGUAAAGAUAUACAUAUUAGAAGAAAGGCAAGAAAUGUAACAUUUAACCUGGAAAGGUUGAGAAACUCUUCACAACAAAGUGAGGAUGAAAGAAAAUUCAGGGAUGAGGAGAGAGAAGGAAACAAUCCCAAAGUCCAGCUGAGACGAUUGAAGGGGAAAGUAAAUCUAAACCAGAAAAGUAAAGUCCAUCCUAAGAGGAAAAGUGAGCAGGGCCAUUUGUGUAGAAGCAGGUCAAAGAAGAGUAAAGGCAAAAGGGUGACUCGAGAAGACAGAGGGAAAACAAAGGAGAGCCAUCAGAAAAGGAAGAAAUCUGCCAAAUUAAAAGGAUUAGCUGAAGAUGGUAAUGAACAGAAUGAACGAAUGGGAGAGAAAACUGAAAAGACUUCCAUGAUGGGACCUAGUGUACCUGAGAGUACAGCUACUGAUCAGUGUGCUAAAGAGACAGCACAAUCUGUAGAUAAUACCAAUUCUGUUGACCAGUUACCCUCAGAUUAUCAACAUCUGCAGAAUGGAUGCAUUCAGAAUUACAGUGCCCCACCAAACCUGCCAACUUCAGCUGAUAACGGUCUCUCUCUCCAGAGGGGCAGCUUUUUACAUAAUAUUGUGACCACAGAAUCAAGUUCAUUGUUUGCUGGAUCGACAAAUACAAUACUUCCUAGUAAAGCGAUCAAUGUAUCCAGCAUAACUCCAAUUGGUGCUCCUGGCACCUUUAAUGGGCAAGAACACGUCUUGCCUUCUACUGGUUUUCUUCCAGCUAGCAUUCUGCAACAAUAUUCAGUAUAUACCUGUCCUCUUCUUGAUACUCAAGAAAAAGAUUUUAUGAUACCAACCGUGGAUUCAAAUGCAUUUCAGCAGUCCCUCCCACCACCACCCGCAGGCAGCUCUCCCAUUGUGGAAAAAUUACAGUCUGAUUCAACUACAGUGCCUGGACCUCAGCCUCAGAGUGGGAAAUGGGAAGCUUUAUGCAGGGCUCCUGCUAUAAGACAAAGUGUGGAGUCAGAGAAUGGAGAUAGACCUGACCUAACUGAAAGCCUUCCACUCCGAGGUUCAGGAGGCAUUAUGCAGCAAGGAGAAGGAAAGAGUGAUUCAUCAAACACUAUGUCCAUGCAUACUGUCCUCAGUGAAGACACAGAUGAUGAAGCUGCUAAAGUGCUGUUGCAGCAGCAGGUGUGCCUGUCAGAAGAAGGGAGCUCUACCCUCAAGCGGAAACUGAGGCUGGUGCUUCCAGAGAAGACAUCCAGCCGACCAUUCACUGCAUUGGAGAAGAAAAUACGCUAG
rnacentral:lncRNA from 1 species